rnacentral:rRNA from 1 species
UGAAGGCCAGGCUGAAGACUUUGCCGGAUUAGCUGAGAGGUGGUGCAUGGCCGUCGUCAGUUCGUACUGUGAAGCAUCCUGUUAAGUCAGGCAACGAGCGAGACCCACGCCCACAGUUGCCAGCGUACUCUCUGGAGUGACGGGUACACUGUGGGGACCGCCGCUGCUAAAGCGGAGGAAGGAAUAGGCAACGGUAGGUCAGUAUGCCCCGAAUAUCCCGGGCUACACGCGAGCUACAAUGGUUGGUACAAUGGGUAUCUACCCCGAAAGGGGACGGGAAUCUCCUAAAACCAAUCUUAGUUCGGAUUGAGGGCUGCAACUCGCCCUCAUGAAGCUGGAAUCCGUAGUAAUCGCGUUUCAACAGAACGCGGUGAAUACGUCCCUGCUCCUU